GAUGAAGAACGUAGCGAAAUGCGAUACUUGGUGUGAAUUGCAGAAUCCCGUGAACCAUCGAGUCUUUGAACGCAAGUUGCGCCUCAAGCCAUUAGGUUGAGGGCACGUCUGCCUGGGCGUCACAUAUCGUUGCCUGAUGCCAGUUUCCUCGUGAUGGGUGACUGUGCAGGGCGAAUGAUGGCUUCCCGUGAGCAUUGUUGCCUCAUGGUUGGUUGAAAAUUGAGUCCUUGGUAGGGAGCGCCGCGAUAGAUGGUGGUUGAGUGUCGAACGAGACCCAAUCAUGUGAGACCCCAACCGAAUUUGGCCUUCAUGACCCACAUGCGUCUUUGGAACGCUCAUGACGAGACCUCAGGUCAGGCGGGGCUACCCGCUGAGUUUAAGCAUAUCAAUAAGCGGAGGA
rnacentral:misc_RNA from 1 species